rnacentral:rRNA from 1 species
GACGAACGCUGGCGGCGCGCCUAACACAUGCAAGUCGAACGAGCGAGAGAGAGCUUGCUUUCUCAAGCGAGUGGCGAACGGGUGAGUAACGCGUGAGGAACCUGCCUCGGAGUGGGGAAUAACAGUUGGAAACAGCUGCUAAUACCGCAUGAUGCAACGGAAUCGCAUGACUCUGUUGCCAAAGAUUUAUCGCUCUGAGAUGGCCUCGCGUCCGAUUAGCUAGUUGGUGAGGUAACGGCCCACCAAGGCGACGAUCGGUAGCCGGACUGAGAGGUUGAACGGCCACAUUGGGACUGAGACACGGCCCAG